CGAUUGGAGCACACACGGUGAAGAAACAUGGUCUGAUGUUAUCCCCUGCAAGUUCUGUAGCACUCCAAGUAGCUGCAUACAAUGUCAACAAGACUAAAGAAUUGGUCUUUUGAAAAAACAAUACUAAAGCACUUUUAACCCAUAGCAUUUUCUUCUGUGAAUCUUGUAUGCGGGGUUUUUCUUACUUUCAGUUUUUGUCAUUGCUUUUGUUCCAUUAUACUGUAUAGAGUAAAACUUAGCUACAGAUUCCUUAAUGUUAGCUUGAUGUAGUAUUGUUCCAGAACAGAAAAGAAAUUUGUUUUAACUGAAGCCUCUAACAUUGUAAUCUGGUAUUUUUAAAAAUCUAUUUCUGCAAAAGGAUUUCUUGGUCAAUGAAUCCCAGCCCUGUCAGCUUGAUUGCUCACCUCAAAGAAUGACACUGCAAACAAAAGGUCGAGACAAAAUUACUCUGAUCAUUUGAUAUUUACAGAGACAGGGGCCAUUGGAAAUACUACUCAGGAAGAACCAUUUAUUACAUGAGAGAAACUAUGGUGAAAAGCAAGCAUUCACAGCCUUUCCCUUUGGAAGUAAAAGAAAAAGAGUCUCAUUCCCAGUAUGCGACUUUGGAUGCGAGGAGUUGAGAAUUGCAGUGUUUGCUGCAUAUUCUAUUGUA